GGGUGGGGGGGUCCUUAUUGUUCCUUUAUCUCAGCACUGCAGGCAGCUUAAGCUCCAUAAAUCCUCCUCUGAACUGCAAAACAAACUGCUGCAGAUUUAACGUGUGUGUAGGUGUGUGUGUGUUAGUGAGAAAGAAAGAUUUUUUUCUACAAAUCUCUCUUUUUCUGUAAAUUGUUUGUUUCUAUAUUUAACUUAGGUCUUUUUUCUGUCAGUCAUAAGUGUUAGCAUUUUUUUGUGACGAUAUGUUUUAGGAAUUUUUUAAUGAGAAACAAAGGAGGAAAAUCCUUAAAGCCAGAAAAAAGUUUCAAAUACAACAAAAAAAAAUGUUUCUUAGAAAAAGUUUCCAGCCACAAAGAAAACAGCACUGCAGAGUCCAAUUCUGAGAUUCACAAGCAGGGAUUUCCAUCCUUACCUGUGUAAUGGGGAGGGCAUUAGGACCCAGGAGGUCGGUGGUCAGCUGCCCUCUCCCAUCGGAGAGUAGUUCCGGGGUUGCCAGGAACUGUAUAAAGGGCCCGGGGAAUGAUGCGUUUCCGUGUUUGACGUCACCGGCAGUGUUGUCACCAAAAGCAGCCCCACGGAGGAGAACAGCUGAAUGCAGGUAGCGCGGGAAGCCGCUCUCUUUUUAAAGUUUGAUCACGGCCGCAUGUUGACAUUCUAUCUGUACAGGGCCACCGUCAAGUCGACCUUGCCAUUUGUGUGUGCCCCCCGCCUUCGUCAUAAGCGUGCCACAAAGGCAGCGUAUGUGGAGCUUCCACACAGAUUUGUUUGGGAGAUUUGUCACCACUGGAGAACCCACAGAUGUCCACACGAUUGAACAGAGGAAGGGAUUUUUAAAUGUGAGUUAGAUCAGCUUUCCAAAUGUUUGUAUCGUUUGGUUCCUCACUGUGUUCUUAAAAUCUCUCUUGUUGUUUUUAGGAUGUAUUCAUGUGCUGUCAUGCCUGUCACUGUUUUUUUAUCCCCACUGCUCGCUUUUAUUUUUUUAUCUCUUUUAUCUUUUUUUAAUGUGUUUUGUUUGGGGUAUUUUUAACCCCUUUUUUACACUUGGCACUUUUAAACCUUAGCCGACGUUUUAGACAGUGGUUUUAAACAGUAACCUGGUGCUGUGCAGGAUUGUGGAUUUUAUUUGCUGUGCUGUCCUCUCGUUUUUAUUAAGCAUGUUGUUUUUUAUUUGAGGGACAAUUGUGUGUUUUUUUUAAAGUUAUCCUGUCACAGCCCAGCUCUUGAAAAAGCUACUGUGCGGCUCAGUUCCUUGUGUUUUAAUAAAUCUUUUUGCUACACCAGCUACUGCCUCAUCCAGUUAAUUCUGGAAGCCUGCCCUUAGUGUGUGUAGCUAGCACCCUUUCCUACCACAAGGGGUUGCUGACUACUACA